rnacentral:rRNA from 1 species
ACAAGCGGUGGAGUAUGUGGUUUAAUUCGAUGCAACGCGAAGAACCUUACCUGGUCUUGACAUCCCGGAGACCCUUAGGAAACUAGGGGUGCUUCCAUCUGGAGAAUCUGGAGACAGGUGCUGCAUGGCUGUCGUCAGCUCGUGUCGUGAGAUGUUGGGUUAAGUCCCGCAACGAGCGCAACCCUUGCCUUUAGUUGCCAGCAGUUCGGCUGGGCACUCUAAAGGGACUGCCGGUGUUAAACCGGAGGAAGGUGGGGAUGACGUCAAGUCCUCAUGGCCUUUAUGACCAGGGCUACACACGUACCACAAUGGCCGAUACAAAGGGCAGCGACACUGCGAGGUGAAGCCAAUCCCGUAAAAUCGGUCUCAGUCCGGAUUGGAGUCUGCAACUCGACUCCAUGAAGUUGGAAUCGCUAGUAAUCGUGGAUCAGCAUGCCACGGUGAAUACGUUCCCGGGCCUU